rnacentral:rRNA from 1 species
GGCGGCAUGCUUAACACAUGCAAGUCGCACGGCUGGGGUAACUCAGCAGUGGCGGACGGGUGAGUAACGCGUAGGUAUCUAUCUCCGGGUGGGGGACAACUGUGGGAAACUACAGCUAAUACCGCAUGAUGCCCGAGGGCCAAAGCAGCAAUGCGCCUGGAGAGGAGCCUGCGUACGAUUAGCUUGUUGGCGGGGUAAAGGCCCACCAAGGCGACGAUCGUUAGCUGGUCUGAGAGGAUGAUCAGCCACACUGGGACUGAGACACGGCCCAGACUCCUACGGGAGGCAGCAGUGGGGAAUAUUGGACAAUGGGCGCAAGCCUGAUCCAGCAAUGCCGCGUGAGUGAAGAAGGUCUNCGGAUUGUAAAGCUCUUUCGACGGGGACGAUGAUGACGGUACCCGUANAAGAAGCCCCGGCUAACUUCGUGCCAGCAGCCGCGGU